AUUAAAAUACCGGUUCCCGUACGAUCACCGAAGUUAAGCAACGUCGAACCUAGUCAGUACCUAGGUCGUUGACCUCUUAAGAAUACCAUGUGCUGUA